CUCCGCCUGAGCGGGAGUUUCCAGGAAGCGCUGAGGGGAGCCGCAGCACCGCUCAGCUCUCGCACAGCGCGCCCCUUCCGCCGAAGCCGUGGCAGGAACGCGAAGUAGUCCCGGCACCUCUCUGCUCUCAACCGCUAUAAAGUGCCGUCCCGCUCUGCUCUCGCAGAAGAUUAUUACAGAAGCGGAGGGAGAGAAGCGUUUAUCCCUUCUUCUCAUCCCGUGGAUUUGCGCGGAAAAAAUAAGUCCUGAUGCGUGCUGGAAGAAGUGUGUGCUUCAGCACUGAUUAAAGUCAUGUAUGAGUUAAUGAGAAGCUUGCAGAGUAUGUGAAGCAAGAGAAAAUCUUUAACCAGCUCUGCUGUUCCUCGUACAUAGCACAAACUUGUAAGCUGUAACCAGAAGGUGGAUUGGAUGUGUGAAAUGCUGCAGUAGGAGACUCCUGUAAUUGCAUCACAGGUGGAUGCUCACUCAAUUAAUGUUAGCAUCUUCACAAUACAUGAAAGUUGGUGGUUUGGUUUUUUGUUUUUCUCAAAUGUUUGUAAGGUGGCAUAUUUCAAAAUAUACUUAAAUCCUUGGAUGAAGGACGCUACAAACCUACAAAGCAGUAUUUUCUGGCUUGGUUUUUCAUUUUAAACAAUGCCUUUGUUUGUUGGGAUGUUGUUCUGGUGCUUUUUUUAUUUUUUUUCCCUAUGCUAACUGCUUCCUGGAUGAAUAAAUCGGUCAUACAUAAGAGACUCUCAGGUGGUGGAGGAACACAGUGCUGUAAUAUCAACAUUCUAGUUGUGGGACUUCUAAUUUAAGAAACACAUUGCCAGAAGAAAUAAGAUCAAGGCUGAAUCUUGCUUGCAUUUUGGUCCAAAUGUAAGAUCCCCUUCCUAAGCAGUCCCCAAUGAACACGGAGGGCAAUUAAGUAAAAAUAAACCCUUUCACUUCAGCCCUCUCCAUCGUUUUUAACGUAAGCAAGAAAAUGCAACUGUUUUCAUUAUGUGUUCUGAUAUUUCUUAAUUUUGUACUGCAUCUUCAGACCUCCAGAGGCUUAUAAUUGGUGUGAUUUGGGGGUAUUUCUAGACAAUACUUUUAAGGAAAUCAUCUCACUGUGUCCCAGAAGGAGCUACUGAGCACUCAUUCUCUUAAAAAAAAAAAAAAAAAAAGACUGAAUUUGUACAGCUUUGCCUUCUACCCCCAUCCCCCUUUUUAUUCCUCCCAAUGGAAUUUUUGUAUUUAAUUGUUGAAUUCUUCUUUCCUUAGAUUAAGUUAAAUAUUUAUUGGUAUCUGUUGGGUUUUUUUUUUUUUUCUAAAGAAGAGAGCCUUAUUGCUGAGACAGUCUCUUCAUUCUGCAUUGAGGAUGUGACAUAGAAAGGGACUGAAGGAGAGUUGUCUUGUGCUGGGAAAGUUAGUGCUGUUUUUGGAAAAAAAAUAUUGUAGGAAAUGGAAAUUAAAAAUACAUUUUAUGCUGGUGGGAACUUUGUAAUGAGGCUGAGAGAGGAUUUGAAAUCUCAGAAAAGCGAUUAUUACAAGGGAAAAAGCAGGACUUUAUCAUCCAUUUGUGAAAGUUCUCCAGCUGAAUAUCCUUUUGGGGAACUGAAAUUUGGCUCGAGUCUGUUUAUGAACAUCUGUUGAAUGUAAUUUUAAAAAGGCACAGAUUAUAAUCUUAGUUUCUGUUGUCUGUUUAGGCUGGAAUUGACAAAAACAAAGUACAAAAAACAAAGAUAGAAUGGCCUUUUUUUUUUUUUUUUAAAUAGUGAGCUGCAUGAAUCUUCCACAGUCUGCGGUGCUGAUUACCUGGCUGUGUGUGUUCAUUCUGUACAUUUUUCUCCUUGGCUUAUGACAUACAGAUGUGUGGCUUCCGCCCCCGUCUGUAUUUGGUUAAUUCCAUUACUUUUCCAGUGAGCUUUCAAAUUUUGUGGGGUUUGGUUUUUUGUUUUCUUCACCAGCAGCCUGUUGGAUGCCUGUGUUGUCUCUGAUGUUUUUGUACAAGGAGCAGAGUGAUGUAUUUGAGGGGAAAUUUUGAGAAAUGUCGGGUGUUCCCAGAACCGUCGCCGUUCACUCAGUCCAGCUUUGCAUCCUUCCCACCUGUCUUCAACUACAUUUCUGUAAAUGCAAUCACUUGGUGUCUGCUGUCUCUAGAUAGUACUACUUCAGCAUCUAUUUCUGCAGUAUUUGUGACCUCCUGUUAUUCAGGGAGGUCUUCGCUGUAAUUUUCCCUCCUAUUAUUUUGCUUCUUUUGCAGCCUGAUGUUUUUGUUGUUGUUUUAUAUUCCCAGCAAGCAUCUUGUGAAUGCUUCAGCCCAAAAUUUAGGUCAUCUCUGAUAGAAGAAGGAAGAGGAAACCUAAAAAGUAAAAAUAAGAUUUCAAUGUGCUUUAAAAAGCGCUUUUCUUUUGGGGGG